rnacentral:rRNA from 1 species
AUUGAACGCUGGCGGCAUGCCUUACACAUGCAAGUCGAACGGCAGCACGGGAGCAAUCCUGGUGGCGAGUGGCGAACGGGUGAGUAAAGUAUCGGAACGUGCCCAGUAGUGGGGGAUAACGUAGCGAAAGUUACGCUAAUACCGCAUACGAUCUAUGGAUGAAAGCGGGGGAUCGCAAGACCUCGCGCGAUUGGAGCGGCCGAUAUCAGAUUAGGUCGUUGGCGGGGUAAAGGCUCACCAAGCCGACGAUCUGUAGCUGGUCUCAGAGGACGACCAGCCAAACUGGGACUGGGACACGGCCCAGACUCCUACGGGAGGCAGCAGUGGGGAAUUUUGGACAAUGGGCGAAAGCCUGAUCCAGCCAGGCCGCGUGCAGGAUGAAGGCCUUCGGGUUGUAAACUGCUUUUGUACGGAACGAAAAGGUUUGGCCUAAUAAGCUGAGCUCAUGACGGUACCGUAAGAAUAAGCACCGGCUAACUACGUGCCAGCCGCCGCUGUAA